GAUGAACGCUAGCGGGAGGCCUAAUACAUGCAAGUCGAACGGUAAGGUCCCUUCGGGGAUACACGAGUGGCGGACGGGUGCGUAACGCGUACGAAACAUACCUUCAACAGGGAGAUACCUCCGGGAAACUGGAAAUAAUACCCCAUAGUAUUGAGAUAUCGCAUGAUAUUUCUAAUUAAAGCUUUGGUCGGUUGAAGAUUGUCGUGCGUCUGAUUAGCUAGUUGGUGAGGUAACGGCUCACCAAGGCGACGAUCAGUAGCUGGUCUGAGAGGAUGAUCAGCCACACUGGAACUGAGACACGGUCCAGACUCCUACGGGAGGCAGCAGUAGGGAAUAUUGGACAAUGGGCGGAAGCCUGAUCCAGCCAUCCCGCGUGUAGGAAUAAGGCCCUA
rnacentral:rRNA from 1 species